CUUGAUCGAGCCGAGCCACAACGGGCGCUCCGCGGGCCGUUCCUGGCCGUAGGUGGCAAGGAGUGCCUGGGCCUC
rnacentral:antisense_RNA from 1 species